GCAGAUCGGGAGAAUCGCAUCUGCGAUGCCGAAGGAGCAACCGCCUCGGAAACUCUCAGGCCCAAGGACCGAUCGC
rnacentral:ncRNA from 1 species